GAGAAAAUACGGAGCCAUGUGAUUGAGGGAGAUUGAGCAGUUUGGAUUAGAAACUGGCUUUCGGUAAAAAGGCAACCAGUGGUGUUUGAUGGAAAAUAUUCAGCCUGGAGUCCGGUUACUCGUGGUGUGCCUCAAGGAUCUGUUUUUGGCCCACUGCUGUUUGUCAUUUUUAUAAAUGACUCGGACGCAGGCAUAGGUGGAUGGGUUGGUAAGUUUGCAAAUGACACUAAAGUCGGUGGAGUGGUGGACAAUGUGGAAGAAUGUCGCAUGUUGCAGGGAGACUUGGAUAAAGUGCAAAAUUGGGCGGAAAGGUGGCAAAUGGAGUUCAAUGUGAGGUGAUUCGCUUUGGGAGGAAUAAUAGGAAGGUACAAUACUGGGCCAAUGGAAAGAUUCUUGGUAGUGCGGAUGUGCAGAGGGACCUUGGCGUCCAUGUACGUAGAUCUCUGAAAGUUGCCACCCAUGUUGAUAGCGCUGUGAAGAAGGCAUACGGUGUGUUAGACUUUAUUGGUAGAGGGAUUGAGUUCCAGAGCCGUGAUGUCAUGCUGCAACUGCACAAAACGCUCGUGCGACCUGUUCUGGUCGCUCCAUUGCGGGACGAAUUCGGAAGCAUUGGAAAAGGAGCAGAGGAGAUUUACCAGGAUGUUGCCUGGUCUGGAGUGAAGGUCUUAUGAGAGAAGGCUGAGCGACUCGAGUCUGUCCUCAUUGGAGAGAAGAAGGCUAAGAGGGCCUUUAAUAGAAACAUACAAGACGAUCAGAGAAAGAUGAGUCAGGGUGGACGGUGAGAGUCUUUUUCCUAGGAUGAUGAUGUUGGCUUGUACGAGGGGGCUCAGCUACAAAUUGAGGGGUGAUGGAUUGAAGACAGAUGUCAGAGGCAGGUUCUUUACCCAGAGAGUGGUAAGGGCAUGGAAUGCCCUGCCUGCCAAUGCAGUUAACUCAGCCACAUUCAGGGCAUUUGAACAGUCCUUGGAUAAGCAUAUAGAUGAUGAUGGGAUAGUGUGAGGGAACGGACUUAGAUUAGUUCACAGGUUGGCGCAACAUGGAGGGCCGAAGGACCUGUUCUGUUCUGUAUUUUUCUAUGUUCACAGAUGACACGAAAAUGAGUGAGAGAGUCAAGUCUGAAGAGGACAAUGAAAAUCUGCGGAAGGAUGCAGAAAGUUUAAGUGAAUGGACAAGGGCCUAGCAGAUGGAGUCCAAUGAUGGUAGAUGUGAGGGUAUCCAUUUUGGUAGCAAUUAUGGAAAAAUGGAGUCUUGAUUAAAUGGUGAAAAAUUGCAGCAUGCUGCUCCGCAGAGUGAGCUGGGCAGCCUUGUGUCUGAAUCAGGUAGUUUGCAGAUGCGGCUGGUAAUUGAGACAGCAAAUGGAAUAGUGUCCUUCAUUGCGAGACUGAUGCAGUUUAAAAAUCGGGAGGGUAUGCUACAGUUGUAUAGGGUGCUGGUGAGGCUUGGUGUGGAGUAGUUUGUGCAGUUUUAGUCACCUCACUUGAGAAAGGAUGUACUUGCACUGGAGGGGGUGCAAAGGAGGUUCACGAGGUUGAUUCCAGAAUUAAAAAUGUUGCUGUACGGGGAGAGAUUGAGUAGACUAGGAUUGCAGUCCCUGGAAUUUAGAAGAAUGAGGGGUGAUCUAAUAGAAACUUUUAAAAUUAUGAAACAAAUGGAUCGGAAAUUGUUUCCACUGAUGGGCGAAAUCCCAACUCGGGGGCACAGCCUCAAAAUAAGUGUGAACAGAUAUAAAACUGAGUUGAGGAUGAGCUUCUUCAUCCAAAGGGUUGUGAAUCUGUGGAAUUCUCUGCCCACUGAAACAGUUGAGGUUCCCUUGUUGAAUGUUUUGAAAGCCAAAACAGAUAGAUCUUUGAACAGGAAAGGAAUUGAGGGUUAUGGUGAAUGGGAGGGUAAGUGGAGCUGAGUCCGCAAAAAAGAUCAGCGGAACGAGCUGGAAGAGACAGAUGGCCUACUCCUGUUUUAUUUCUUAUGUCCGUAUGUCCUUACAUUGCCAUCCAUGUCAUUCCUCCUUCCCUGGAAUAGGCCAGUUCUGAACUGAACAGUAGGUCUUUAAAUAACUCCCACAUAUCAAAUUUUGACUUGUUCAAUAAAAGCUCCUCCCAAUUAAUACUGCUCAGCUCCUUCCUCACACUGAUGUAAUUUUCCCUCCCCCAAUUUCGUCCCUUCCCACAAGGUCCUGAUUAUCCAUGGCUGUCUUAAAGUGUAAGGAGAUGCGAUCGCCCAUUUAAGAAGCUCCUGGUUCACUGUUUUUCCCAAGUGGGAAUCAGCUACAGGCUUUCUUGUUCCACGAUGGGGGAGGAAAUGGCCGAGAGGUAUUAUUGCUGGACUGUUAAUUCAGAGACUGAGAUAACAUUCUGGGGACCUGUGUUCAAAUUCCAGCACAGCAGAUGGUGGAAUUUGAAUUCAAUAUAAAAGAAAGUCAUGAAUUAAGAAUAUAAUGAUGACCAUGAAUUCAUUGCCAAAUGUCAGAAAAACUCAGCUGGUUCACUGAUGUGCUUUAGGGAAGGAAACUGCCACCCUUACAUGAUCUGGCCUAUAUGUGACUGCAGACCCACAGCAAUAUGAUUGACUUUGAACUGUCCCCUAGGCAAUUAGGGAUGGACAACAAACACUGCGUAGCCAGGGAUGUCCUCCUCCCAUUCACAAAUAAAUAAAAUUGGAUUCUACAUCUUCCGAUCCAAGAUCGUUUCUUGCUCUCAUACUAAUUUCUUCGCUUACAGUCACUUUCCCUCCUGCCUGUCUUUUUGGAAUGUCGUACAGCCCUGCGCACUUACCUCCAGUGUUGAUCUCCUUGUAAACAUGUCUUUGUAAUAGCUAUAAAAUCAUGCCCAUCAACCUCGAAAUGUGCUAUUAAUUUGUUGACUUUGUUCUGAACACAAUGAGCACGCAAGCAAAGAGCCAUGAAUUUAGCUUUAUCACUUGAUUUCACCUCUUGACACUAUUUACAGCUGUUUUCUGUUUGUACAUGCUGCCUUUUCCAGUACCACGCUGAGUAUUGUUAUCCCGAUAGUUCUUUCGUCUCAGUCCGUGUGUAUUCCUGGGCGAAUGUGCUCGUGUGGUCUCAGGAGUUGGGGAGGUCACGGCUCUGGGACAGCCGUUUCAUCGCCCAAUGCUGCAGUUAAGAAGAAAAGAAAAUCUCUUGCUCUGAGCUCUGCAAACCUGGGCAAUGUCAAAAGGGAAACAAGGUCAAAAGAAAUUCAACAAGAAUCUCAAAAUUAACUGCUGAAUUCAUAUCAACAUUACGGGGAUCGCCCAACUUAGUGGCCACAACAUCCCACUUUCUAUUCUUCACAAACAAUCCAAAGGCUGAAGUAUCCGUAUCCCUCUUAACUUUUAUGGUUUUUGAGCUAAAUUCUUUUUUCUAACUUGUGCAUAUUUGUGGUGCUUUAUGACUUCUUGCAUUUAGCAAUUGAUAAACUCACUCUCUCACGAGUUCAGGAGAAGCCAGUUUUAUGGAAUCCUCAGUGUGGAAACAGGCCACUCAGUUCAACAAGCCCACAGCAACCCUCCAAAGAGCAUUCCACCUAGACCCAUCCCCAUUCCCCUACUCUAUCCCUGUCAGCCUGCAUUUCCCAUGGCUAAUGUACCUAACCUACACAUCCGUGGGCACUGUGGGUAAUUCAGCAUUGCCAAUCCACCUAACCUGCACAUCUCUGGACUGUGGGAGGAAACCAGAGCACCCAGCAGAAACCCACACAGACAACGGGAGAAUGUGCAAACUCCACACAGACAGUCAUCCGAGGCUGGAAUGGAACUCAGGUCCCUGGUGCUGUGAGGUAGCGUUACUAACGACUGAGUCACCGUGUCACCCUGAGUUAUCUUGACUCCUUCUGAAACAUAGGAAGGUAUCCACAACCCAAAGAUCCUUUUUAAUCAGCUUAAUUCGUACCAACUGAGGUGGAUCUAGUUGGGUGUGUAAAGAAGGGGAGUCUUUCACGAGGGAACUUAACAAUUUGGGAGACUCAGUCACCGAGGGAGCCUGACCCGAAGACUGGUCAAAACAAUAAUGAUUCGAUAUGAAUUAGUUAGAAUGCAGCUGUUAACAGUAAUCCUCCAUCCCUAUGUGGGAGCGAGAUUUAACAUUCAAAAUCAAAACUGAAACUCUUGAACAAGGUAGUUCAAAACAGCCAGUUCUCUGAUUGAGGUUGUUGACUUGCUCGCCGAGCUGGCUUCUUCUCAUUCAGACGUUUCGUCACCAUGAUCGGUGACAUCAUCGGUACAGCCUCCAAUGAAACGAUGUUAUUCUACUCUGUCUGGAAUUGACACUGUCCAGUCUGUUACCAUGAGUACUGUCAUUUCCGGUUUUGAUCUGUAUGGGUUUGUGUGUGGGGGUCCAAUUGGAUCUGUUUGUUGGUUGCAUUAUGGGUGGAGAAUCACGCCUCUCAGAGGACACUGCGACAAGGUAACCGUAGUACCCAAGCCAAGCAUAGACACGCACAGGAAUUCCGAGAGGCAUGGUUCUGCACCCAUUCUCCAGCCUCACAAAUUUGGUCUCUUCAGUCUGAAUAUGAUCACUCAACCAUAUCCUUGAUGACAAACAAUAGAGUCUUACUUCCCAAAAUCUACAAACAGGACUGUCCAGACAGAUCCAUUUGUUCUCAUGAUAUCAUCUUCUGCUGGAGGGAUUCCGAAAUGUCUGCAUUCUUCCUCAACUGAGCAUUCCUUGCAUUCGUGGUUGACAGAGCUGUCAGCCAUGUCCAUUGUGCUGCAGGGUUCCCAAGCGGAAUAUGAGUUGCUGUUCCUGCAACUUUGGGGUGGCAUCAUUUGUGGCACUGCAGGAGGCCCAUGUUCAGUUUGGUUAUGACUUUUGAGGAAUGGAUGGUCCCUUUGAGAUUGAAAUUGGAGAAAGAUUUCAGGAUUUUUUCAUGUUCAUGUCUUUCUGUUAUGCCCCUAGGGAAAAAGCAAUGAAAGUGCCGUUCAUGUUUUGCACGGCGAGCUGCUGAAUACUAACCGGUCUCACACCAUAACCAUCACCUUGCCCUUGUGAAGGCAGAUAUGGAUAAGGUUCUCAAAGCUGAUUGAAGAUUGAAACCACUCUCGUCCUGUGACGAUGUGUCAGGACUAUCUUCAAAAUCUGAGAUUGGGUUUUGAAAGACAGCAGUCUUUGUUUUGGAGAGAUAAUGGGAACUGCAGAUGCUGGAGAAUGCGAGAUAACAACGUGUGGAGCUGGAUGAAGACAGCAGGCCAAGCAGCAUCUGAGGAGCACAAAAGCUGACGUUUCGGGCCGAGAAUCUUCUUCAGAAAAUGGGGAGGGGGUGCGGGUUCUGAAAUAAAUAGGGAGAGAGGGGGAGGCGGAUGAAAGAUGGAUGGAGGAGAAGAUAGGUGGAGAGGAGAGUAUGGGUAGGGAGGCAGGGAGGGGAUAGGUCAGUCUGGGGAGGCCGGACAGGUCAAGGGAGCGGGAUGAGGGGAAAUAGGGGUGCGGUAUGAGGUGGGAGGGGCGAUGGGUGAGAGGAAGAAUAGGUUAGGGAGGCGGGGACGAGCUGGGCUGGUUUUGGGAUGCAGUGGCAGGAAAGGAGAUUUGGAAGCUUGUGAAAUCCACACUGAUAGCAUUGGGCUGCAGGGUUCCCAAGCAGAAUAUGAUUUGCUGUUCCUGCAACCUUGGGGUGGCGUCAUUAUGGCACUGCAGGAGGCCCAGGUUGGACAUGUCCUCUCGGGAAUGGGAGGGGGAGUUGAAAUGGUUAGUGACUGGGAGGUGCAGUUGUUUCUUGCAAACUGAGCGUAGGUGUUCUGAAAAGCGGUCCCCAAGCCUCUGCAUCGUUUCCCCAAUGUAGAGGAAGCCACAACGGGGACAGCGGAUGUUUUGGAUAUUUCUGAAGCAUUGAUUUUCAUUCAGAGUUGGUUGGAUUUUGCUGAAGCAAUAGACGUAACUCACUAUGACGUAGACAAUGUCAGAGUUAAUGUUUCGCGUCCUGUGACCCUUCCUCAGAUCUCACUCUUCACUGAUGCUGCCAGACCUGCUGAGUUUUUCCAGCAAGUUCUGCUUUUGUUGCUGAUUUACAGUGCCCACAGUUCUUUUGUUUUUUACGACACAGAAAAAACUUGAUCUCUGCAGGAAGCAUGAUGCUGCAUUCUCCAACUUUGCUGCCUUUUUGAAAUAUAAUAUUGUCUUUUUAGGACAGAAGUGGCUUUUUUUGUUUGUUUUAACUUCGGCACAUACUUUCUAUGCAGGUGAAAAGUCUACACCUUUUCAGUUCACUGCAGUGCUGCAUAAUGAAGACUUGGAACAAUUUUUUUUUAUAAAGUAGAAAAUCAGUGUGGUUCGUUUUCCAAAAUGUGAUUUGUAAGUGCAACACUUAACAGUGUGUUCAUCAAACUAUUGUUUCCUUUGAUCUUUGUGUUGCAGAAAUUUCUAGAAUCAUUUCAUAUAUAUUUUUCUUGAUAUAUUUUAGCAGCUUUCCUGGAGCAAAUCUGUUUUCCUUCGGAUGAGACGACUUUCAGACAUACUCCCUUUAUUUAAUUGCGGUAAAAUGAGGAGGAUUUUUAUUCACUGAGACACACAUGACUAUAUGUUGAAAGCAUUGGAAAAAGCGUUCUGUUCGGACUGUCAUGUUAUCUGGUGUUUGUACCAGGCUUUCCGAUGAAAUGCAAGUGAUUAAGGAUGCUACUGAUGCCACAUGUUAUUACAAGAAGAAAUGAACAUACAAGUAAGGAUUUUAUGCCACAUUUAUACAUAGCAUGGGCCAUGCAGCAUGGAUGCAGUGACUGAGUGAAAUGGGAUGCAGUGACUGAGUGAAAUGGGAUGCAGUGACUGAGUGAAAUGGGAUGCAGUGACUGAGUGAAAUGGGAUGCAGUGACUGAGUGAAAUGGGACGCAGUGACUGAGUGAAAUGCUCACAGCGAAUUGCCCCCUCCAUCCUGACCCGCUCACAGCGACUUGCCCCUGCAGUCCUGACCUGCUCACAGCGACUUCUCUCUGCAGACCUGACCCACUCACAGCGACUCGCCCCUUCAGUCCUGUCCCAAUCACAAGGACUUGCCCUCUCCGUCCUUACCCGCUCACAGUGACUUGCCCCUGCAGUCCUGACCCCCUCACAGUGACCUGCCCCCUCACUCCUGACCCGAUCUACAUUGAGGAAACCAAGCAGAGGCUUGGGGACCGCUUUGCAGAACACCUCCACUCGGUUCGCAACAAACAACUGCACUUCCCAGUCGCGAACCAUUUUAACUCCCACUCCCAUUCCUUAGACGACAUGUCCAUCAUGGGCCUCCUGCAGUGCCACAAUAAUGCCACCCGAAGGUUGCAAGAACAGCAACUGAUAAUCCGCUUGGGGACCCUGCAACCCAAUGGUAUCCAUGUGGACUUCACCAGCUUCAAAAUCUCCCCUUCCCCAACUGCAUCCCAAAACCAGCCCAGUUCUUCCCCUCCCCCGACUGCAUCACAAAACCAGCCCAGCUGUUCCCUUCCCCCGACUGCAUCCCAAAACCAGCCCAGCCUGUCUCCGCCUCCCUAACAUGUUGUUCCUCUCACCCAUCCCUUCCUCCCACCUCAAGCCACGCCUCAUCCUGCCUCCUUGACCUGCCUGUCUUCCCUGGACUGACCUAUGCCCUCCCUACCUCCUCACCUGUACUCUCCUCCCUACCUAUCUUGUUUUCUCUCCAUCUUCGGUCCGCAUCCCCCCCCUCCCUAUUUAUUCCAGUUCCCUCUCCCAUCCCCCUCUCUGAUGAAGGGUCUAGGCCCAAAAUGUCAGCUUUUGUGCUCCUGAGAUGCUGCUUGGCCUGCUGUGUUCAUCCAGCUCCACACUUUGUUAUGUUGGAUUCUCCAGCAUCUGCAGUUCCCAUUAUCAGUGGCAUUUUCCUCUUCAUCAAAGUUUGUGCAAAAGCAACACGAUAUGGGGCGGCACGGUGGCUCAGCGGUUAGCACUGCAGCCUCACAGCACUGGGGACCCAGAUUCAAUUCCAGCCUCAGGCAACUGUCUGUGUGGAAUUUGCACCUUGUCCCUGUGUCUGCAUGGGUUUCCACCAGGUGCUCCGGCCUCCUCCCACAGUCCAAAGAUGUGCACGCUAGGUGGAUUGGCCAUGCUAAAUUGCCCGUAGUGUUCAGGGGCGUGGGUCUGGGUGGGAUGCUCCAAGGUUUGGUGUGCACUUGUUGGGCCAAAGGGCCUGUAUCCACACUGUAGGGAAUCUAAACAAACCUGUUCCCACAUCUCCAUGUUAUAACCCUGCUGAUCACUGCACACAGAGAUGUUUGAGAACAAAAGGAUAACAAUAAUAUUCAAACCUAGUGCUGGAGAUGUAUUUUAAAUACACGGAGGCCAGUGUCGAUCUCCAAUUCAACUUUUAUUUACAAAUGAACUGUCUUCAACUUUAGCACUGCCUCAUUCAGAGAUAGUUGCCAGGGUGUCAGCAUCUCUCAUGCUCACACUUAUCUGUCAGCCAGGGCUCCCUGAUUUGGGCUGUUAAUAUGGAACAAUCGGGCAACUCAUAUUCUGUGAGGUUCAACUGGCCGACCUGGUCACAAACCAGCGCGGUGUGUUCAUCGAAAAUCAAACGUACUAGAAAGAUACCAUUCCAUACCAGUGUAAAGGAAGGCAUGAGGCUAAACUGGGGAGGGAAGGGAACUGCUUAUUGGGGGUGGCCCAGAGAGUAAAAGAAAAUCGAAUGGGAAGAAGACCAUUUGAGACUGAGGGAGAGAGAUGUAAUUGCCUGAAUGAGGCAUUCCAAUUGCGAAAUGGAUUUUUGUGUAUACACCAUGUUCAGUUUCCCCGAUCUUCAUCUGUACUCCUCUUUAAAUCAUUAGUAUCUGAAAUUUCUGUAUCAUUUCCAAAUGUUCUGUCUCUAAUGUUAUGCUGUUGGAAUUGGUUGAACUGCAGAGAGAUUAUUUAUUUGCACAAAUGUGUUCAGUGAAAUGAGUUGCAUGCUAUAUAUGUAUUAUUCUUCCUGAUUCUAUUGUUUGCAUACAAAUUAAAGUUAGUUCCACUUUUGAACAACAAA